AAAAAAAAAGUUUGCGCCAUAAAAUUAGUUACAACCCUGAGCAGUGGAUAGGGUGCUGGUGCUUGCAGGAGGGCGAGUCCUUUAAAUAGGGAACUCCCUCAAAGCAUGUGCACUUUUAUUUGAUUUAUAAGAAAUAUCAUUUGGUCCAAAGUUUUGAAGAAUGAAACAGAUGUUUGCUCUUGUUGCCCAUGCUGGAGUGCAGUGGUUAAGAUCUCGGCUUACCACAACCUCCACCUCCCGGGUUCAAGCGGUUCUCC
rnacentral:lncRNA from 1 species